UACAGAGGUCUCAACCGUUGUUCGGAUUCAUUGGGCGUAAAGGGUGCGUAGGCGGUCGUGCAAGUCGGAUGUGAAAUCUCAGGGCUCAACCCUGAAACUGCAUUCGAUACUGCGCGGCUAGAGUGCUGGAGGGGAGACUGGAAUUUACGGUGUAGCAGUGAAAUGCGUAGAUAUCGUAAGGAAGACCAGUGGCGAAGGCGAGUCUCUGGGCCGAUACUGACGCUGAGGAGCGAAAGCAUGGGUAGCGAACAGG
rnacentral:rRNA from 1 species